CCUGCGGGUGGCAGCAGUAGGGAAUCUUCCACAAUGGGCGAAAGCCUGAUGGAGCAACGCCGCGUGGGUGAAGAAGGUCUUCGGAUCGUAAAACCCUGUUGUUAGAGAAGAAAGUGCGUGAGAGUAACUGUUCACGUCUCGACGGUAUCUAACCAGAAAGCCACGGCUAACUAGGUGCCAGCAGCCGCGGUACUACGUAGGUGGCAAGCGUUAUCCGGAUUUAUUGGGCGUACAGGGAACGCAGGCGGUCUUUUAAGUCUGAUGUGAGAGCCUUCGGCUUAACCGGAGUAGUGCCUGGGAAACUGGUAGCCUUGAGUGCCGGAGAGGAGAGUGGAACUCCUUGUGUAGCGGU
rnacentral:rRNA from 1 species